rnacentral:rRNA from 1 species
UACGGGGGGAGCAAGCGUUGUUCGGAUUUACUGGGCGUAAAGAGCUCGUAGGCGGCUUGUCGCGUCGACUGUGAAAUCCCGCGGCUCAACCGCGGGUCUGCAGUCGAUACGGGCAGGCUAGAGUUCGGUAGGGGAGACUGGAAUUCCUGGUGUAGCGGUGAAAUGCGCAGAUAUCAGGAGGAACACCGGUGGCGAAGGCGGGUCUCUGGGCAACUACUGACGCUGAGGAGCGAAAGCGUGGGGAGCGAACAGG